GAGCCAAGUACCUUUUCUCCGGUCACGACGUGCAGCCCUUCCCGCACUUUGGCGAAGGACCCCUCGCCCAACUUCCUUCCGAUCAGCUAAUGAAAAAUGGAGCCCUUCUGUAUUCCAAAGGAAAGUGAAAAAAGCCCAUCGGACCAUUUUCAUGAAACAGAUCAGUGGCACCGAAACAGACAGAUUCAAAAGUAUAUCAGAUGGGGGAGAAUGUUGACUUUGCCCCAACUCCUAUUCAAUGCAGCAGUCAUCUACGCAUGCACAAUGGAUGCCUAAAAUGUAAACACCUUGCCUUAACUAUGGCUUAUGGCUUCAAAUGGUUUGGAAGCUGUUUUGAGGAAAAGCACAUAAUAAAGAAACUACAGAGUAAAGAUGAAUUGUGGCUAACUUCUUGUGUACUGAGGUUCAAACACCAGCAGUAGGAGAGCACUGGAGUCUGAGUAAAUACACAGCCUACCUUGCAAGCAGAAACAAGCUAAGUACAUUAGGAUGCCAUUUAUUUUGCAAUGACAUGGUGUUUGAACUCAGAUACGUGAUGAAACAGAUACAGGCAAAAGGGCAUUGUUGGGUACUUAGAAGAUGCGGAGGCAUAAAAUUUGCAUAUACUCAUUAAUAUGUAUAGGUGCAAAUUUAGGCCAACUUUCAGAGGGGAGAAAACAAACUGGCUCUUGCUCUCAGGGCAUACUCUCUAAGCUGUUGGGACUUAUUAUCAUGUAAGUGUAUAGGAGUGCAGCCCUGUGGCACCAUCCUGUGCAUGUUUAUGCAGUAUUAAAUCCUGAGCUCAGUGGGAUUUACUCCCUAGUCAUUAUAUUUAGGGUUGAAUUGCAAUUUAAGUCCUGCUUUUUUUUACAAGUUCUCUGAUAAAAUUCUUAACGUAUAUACCAACCCAACUGAAAUAUUUAGUAUUAAAUGAAGAGGAUGUAUAAGAUACUGUGUUAGUUAAGCAAAAUGAAUAACGUAUGCAACCUUUUCCCAUUGUAUUAAUCUGGAGCUCUAAAAUUGGAAACUUCAUUUUUUCUGUCUUCCUUUGU